UCCCUUCCAGGUGCCUCGACUGGUCUAAACUCCUUUCAGGCAGCUGGGGCUGGUUUUUUCUAGGCAGCUAGUCUGGUCUCUUGUCUGAGUGUUUGCAGCUCAGUCUCCUGCCGUCCGAGGAAACUCGACUUUUAUUGCUUACUCUGGAAGGAAGGGGACUAGUGAAUCUGGUCAGUGUCAGCUCUUUUGAGUUCUUUUCCUGGUUAAGCAGCUGCUUACAGGAUGGAAUGUUUCAAUUUUCUGGAAGCUUUUCCACAACAACAGCUUUUGUUGUGGUUGUUGUUGUUUUGCUAAUAUGUAUUCUAUGGUAUGUGUAUGUACAUAGUAUGGCAUGGAGGCAGUGGGGCAGGUAAUUUGUUUCAUUAAUUUCAUGCCUGCACCAUCAAGAGCAGUUACAUUUCAAGAGCUGACUGAAGGAACUUCUCUGGUGAAGCCUCAUCAAUACUUGGACCUAAUUUACAUGGCAGGCACUGAAUGAGUUGAGGGAAUGUUUCAUGUGAAAGAUAGGUGAAGCACACUGGUACCAGUGAGCAGAUCCAAGGAGAGAUGCACAUUGCUUAGCCAGGGAUCAAGCCUCGUAAGGGGUUCCGACUGUGGGGAGCUGAUGCAGACAACCACAGGGGCGGGCUUGAAACUGCCUCUUUAACCCCAAACUCGUCUAGGGCUCUGAAACCCCACGCGACUGUUGGACUACAAACGUUUGAAAGAUUUCGAACCACAAUCACCGAGCUUAACUCCUGGCUCUCAGAAACUUAGCAAUCACAAAUGGCUUAAGCUGUCAGGGUUUGGAGCUCUUUCUUAUGAAGCGAUAGGUGACUAUGAGAUUAUUAUUAUUUAUUUAUUUUUUUCUGAUGCCUCCUUUGCAAGAUUGCUUUACUACCUCACUAUGCGACAUUUGCUCUCUGGGGUCCAAUCUCAAAUUAUCAAGAUGAAAGUCUGACCGACAGAUCUUGGAUCAGAUGUCCCCUUGUGGCUCCUUUUCCUCUACCUGGAAAUGAUGUGACAGGAGGUAUGCAGACCUGCAUCUCUUAGGCUUGGGAUUUUGUUCUUGUAAUAAUAAGAAAGGAAAUACAGGCUGAAGGAGACUUCCUCCCAGACCCCGGAUCAGACACAAACCACACCCAAACACCUUUUUCACAGAGAGAUCCUUUACCAAACUGGGAAGAAAAGUUGAAGUGGCUGCUUUCUGACUCAGGCAGAAAACAGCAGCACAUGACCUUGCAGGAUCUUGCUGUGUACUCCAUCCAAGUCUCAAACUUGAAGAGUCUUCUGCCCUACCCUCCUAAGUACUAGAGCUAUGGGCAUGAGUCACCAUGGUUUGCCUCCCCAUGCUGAGAGUUUGGUGAAGUUAAAGUGUGGAGUUGCCUUUAGGACCAAAGGAACUAUAAUCGUGUAGCUUGAAGGCCAUCUGUAAUUAGUGAAAAAAAAAAUCAUCUCUUCUGCUGUUCCCUCAAAGAAGAAUAUGCUGUAAAUUCCCAACCAAGAAGGAACCAUUGGCAGUUUUAACAAAGGAGAGACCAGACAGUAGCACCUUGAGGCUCACUGGGCAUAUGAAGAGUUAGGGGUAAAGGACUAACAAAGCACAGAACUCCUUUAGUAUUGUGGUGGUGGAGAUGGUGGUGGUGGUGAUG